rnacentral:rRNA from 1 species
UACAGAGACUGCAAGCGUUAUUCGGAUUCACUGGGCGUAAAGGGUGCGCAGGUGGUCGUGUGUGUCAGAUGUGAAAUCCCCGGGCUUAACCUGGGAACCGCAUUUGUGACUGCAUAGCUGGAGUACGGCAGAGGGGGAUGGAAUUCCGCGUGUAGCAGUGAAAUGCGUAGAUAUGCGGAGGAACACCGAUGGCGAAGGCAGUCCCCUGGGCCUGUACUGACGCUCAUGCACGAAAGCGUGGGGAGCAAACAGG